rnacentral:rRNA from 1 species
GAUGAACGCUGGCGGCGUGCCUAAUACAUGCAAGUCGAGCGAACGGACGAGAAGCUUGCUUCUCUGAUGUUAGCGGCGGACGGGUGAGUAACACGUGGAUAACCUACCUAUAAGACUGGGAUAACUUCGGGAAACCGUAGCUAAUACCGGAUAAUAUUUUGAACCGCAUGGUUCAAAAGUGAAAGACGGUCUUGCUGUCACUUAUAGAUGGAUCCGCGCUGCAUUAGCUAGUUGGUAAGGUAACGGCUUACCAAGGCAACGAUGCAUAGCCGACCUGAGAGGGGGAUCGGCCACACUGGAACUGAGACACGGUCCAGACUCCUACGGGAGGCAGCAGUAGGGAAUCUUCCGCAAUGGGCGAAAGCCUGACGGAGCAACGCCGCGUGAGUGAUGAAGGUCUUCGGAUCGUAAAACUCUGUUAUUAGGGAAGAACAUAUGCGUAAGUAACUGUGCACAUCUUGACGGUACCUAAUCAGAAAGCCACGGCUAACUACGUG